GCGGAGCGAUCUGGAGCAGAGCGUUCGCUCUGGGUUUUGAGACUCCGGAGCGCAGCGGACCUGAACGGAGCGGGCGGACCGGAGCACACACGGACUCGUGGCCUGGCAUAUCUCCACCGAUCAAACCAGGACAGGCCGCGUCAUGGGGGAUGAAGGCACCUACGUGUGGGAACAGCAGUUCCCCGAGACCAGGCAGUCCCAGCCCCCGUCCUACGCCGACACGGAGCAGAGAGGUCACAGGUCAGAGAAGAGCAAGUGUCCGACGUGCUGCCUGAAGUUCAGGGACUGCCUGAUGAGCCCCGAGUGCGGCCGGUGCCUGCAGAUCUCCAGCGUCAUCGCCUUCUGUGGGAGAUGCAUACGCAUGUGGAUGUAACCGGACGACCGUCAACCCCAGGAUGUUUCUUCUCAUCCUCCAUCAUCAAAUCUCCCUGUACAUGUUUCCCUCCUCCAGACUCUCUUUAAUCUUCUGAUUUCAGGCUAUCAGACAUAAACAAGCUUCAGUGGAAACUCUGUUAUUGAAAGACACACAUGACUGUGUGUGUGUGUGUGUGUGUGUGUUUUUGUGUGUGUGAAAAGGUCACUUUAAUCUAUAUAUUUUUGUAAAGACGUUCACUUGUCAGUGCUAUCUGAUGGAUUCCUGUUCGAUAAAAAUGGUACCGUGUACAGAAUUGUAUAUUUUAUAGCUUAGCUGUUUUCUUUAAUGUAAAAUAAAUGGAACAAUGUCAUUCUUGAAAAGGUGAAGAAAAGAAAUGUGUGCGUAUGGAGAAGUAAACAUUGCAAUAAAUACUGUAAAUCCAAUGUGUGAAAUGUUCAU